rnacentral:misc_RNA from 1 species
GAUGAAGAACGUAGCGAAAUGCGAUAAGUAGUGUGAAUUGCAGAAUUCAGUGAAUCAUCGAAUCUUUGAACGCACAUUGCGCCCUUUGGUAUUCCAAAGGGCAUGCCUGUUCGAGCGUCAUUUGUACCCUCAAGCUUUGCUUGGUGUUGGGCGUCUUGUCUCUAGCUUUGCUGGAGACUCGCCUUAAAGUAAUUGGCAGCCGGCCUACUGGUUUCGGAGCGCAGCACAAGUCGCACUCUCUAUCAGCAAAGGUCUAGCAUCCAUUAAGCCUUUUUUUCAACUUUUGACCUCGGAUCAGGUAGGAGGACCCGCUGAACUUAAGCAUAUCAAUAAGCGGAGGA